GGGGAAUAUUGGACAAUGGGCGAAAGCCUGAUCCAGCCCUGCCGCGUGUGUGAAGAAGGUCUUCGGAUUGUAAAGCACGUUAAGUUGGGAGGAAGGGUUUCUGGCUAAUAUCCAGGAAUUUUGACGAUACCGACAGAAUAAGCACCGGCUAACUUCGUGCCAGCAGCCGCGGUAAUACGAAGGGUGCAAGCGUUACUCGGAAUUACUGGGCGUAAAGCGUGCGUAGGUGGUGGUUUAAGUCCGUUGUGAAAGCCCUGGGCUCAACCUGGGAACUGCAGUGGAUACUGCAUCACUAGAGUGUGGCAGAGGGUAGUGGAAUUCCCGGUGUAGCAGUGAAAUGCGUAGAGAUCGGGCGGAACAUCAGUGGCGAAGGCGACUGCCUGGGCCAACACUGACACUGAGGCACGAAAGCGUGGGGAGCAAACA
rnacentral:rRNA from 1 species